AGUGAACGCUGGCGGUAGGCCUAACACAUGCAAGUCGAACGGCAGCACAGUAAGAGCUUGCUCUUACGGGUGGCGAGUGGCGGAUGGGUGAGGAAUACAUCGGAAUCUACUUUUUCGUGGGGGAUAACGUAGGGAAAAUUACGCUAAUACCGCAUACGACCUACGGGUGAAAGCAGGGGAUCUUCGGCACUUGCGCGAUUGAAUGAGCCGAUGUCGGAUUAGCUAGUUGGCGGGGUAACGGCCCACCAAGGCGACGAUCCGUAGCUGGUCUGAGCGGAUGAUCAGCCACACUGGAACUGAGACACGGUCCAGACUCCUACGGGAGGCAGCAGUGGGGAAUAUUGGACAAUGGGCGCAAGCCUGAUCCAGCCAUACCGCGUGGGUGAAGAAGGCCUUCGGGUUGUAAAGCCCUUUUGUUUGGAAAGAAAAGCAGCAGGUUAAUACCCCGCUGUUCUGACGGUACCCAAAGAAUAAGCACCGGCUAACUUCGUG
rnacentral:rRNA from 1 species